AAAACAAAAGAAAAAAAAAACAAGCAAACAAAUCAGUUUUUUCAAA
rnacentral:sRNA from 1 species